rnacentral:tRNA from 1 species
AUUACUUUGGCAGAAUAGUGUUUUAAAUUUAGAAUUUAAUUAAGUAUAAAUAAAUUUAUACAAGUAAUA